GUGGGGAAUAUUGGACAAUGGGCGAAAGCCUGAUCCAGCAAUGCCGCGUGAGUGAAGAAGGCCUUAGGGUUGUAAAACUCUUUCAGUCGUGACGAUGAUGACGGUAGCGACAGAAGAAGCUCCGGCUAACUCCGUGCCAGCAGCCGCGGUAAUACGGAGGGGGCUAGCGUUGUUCGGAAUUACUGGGCGUAAAGCGCACGUAGGCGGUGUAUCUAGUCAGAGGUGAAAGGCCUGGGCUCAACCUGGGAACUGCCUUUGAUACUGAUACGCUCGAGAGCGGGAGAGGGUAGUGGAAUUCCCAGUGUAGAGGUGAAAUUCGUAGAUAUUGGGAAGAACACCAGUUGCGAAGGCGGCUACCUGGCCCGGUACUGACGCUGAGGUGCGAAAGCGUGGGGAGCAAACAGGAUUAGAUACCCGAGUAGUCC
rnacentral:rRNA from 1 species